rnacentral:rRNA from 1 species
UACGUAGGUGGCGAGCGUUGUCCGGAUUUACCGGGCGUAAAGGGAGCGUAGGCGGACUUUUAAGUGAGAUGUGAAAUACUCGGGCUCAACUUGAGUGCUGCAUUUCAAACUGGAAGUCUAGAGUGCAGGAGAGGAGAAUGGAAUUCCUAGUGUAGCGGUGAAAUGCGUAGAGAUUAGGAAGAACACCAGUGGCGAAGGCGGUUCUCUGGACUGUAACUGACGCUGAGGCUCGAAAGCGUGGGGAGCAAACAGG